UUACCAGGCCUUGACAUGCAGAGAACUUUCCAGAGAUGGAUUGGUGCCUUCGGGAACUCUGACACAGGUGCUGCAUGGCUGUCGUCAGCUCGUGUCGUGAGGAUGUUGGGUUAAGUCCCGUAACGAGCGCAACCCUUGUCCUUAGUUACCAGCACGUUAUGGUGGGCACUCUAAGGAGACUGCCGGGUGACAAACCGGAGGAAGGUGGGGAUGACGUCAAGUCAUCAUGGCCCUUACGGCCUGGGCUACACACGUGCUACAAUGGUCGGUACAAAGGGUUGCCAAGCCGCGAGGUGGAGCUAAUCCCAAUAAAACCGAUCGUAGUCCGGAUCGCAGUCUGCAACUCGACUGCGUGAAGUCGGAAUCGCUAGUAAUCGUGAAUCAGAAUGUCACGGUGAAUACGUUCCCGGGUCCUU
rnacentral:rRNA from 1 species